AUUGAAUCUGGUGGGAAGAGGCAGCACGUCCUCUGCUUUUUAACCAAGUCAGGUUUGAGACUAACCAACUCAGCAGGGUGAACGCCAAACCUGAUGACUAGAGUCAACGUUACCUUCCACAUCCACUGAACAUAUUUCAUCCAUUCAUCCUUUCACCCCCAUCACCCCCAUUCAAAGUCUGGGAGAGGAAGGAAGUCACGAGGAAGUCUUGCAACAGCAACACCCUUGUGAUGUCUCCAAAAUUGUCCAUUCUUCCCUUGGAUAUCAGCUGAAGAACACAAGAUCUAUCAUCAAAUGUCGGUGGGGCCCAGUUCAGAAGAGAAGACCAAGAGAAAUAUAUUUCAGCCCUGGUUCUGAGGUUUUACAAAAGUAUGGUGAUUUUGGGAGUCCACCUGGGUGGUUGAGAUGACCAGCAUGAAGUUGGACUAGUUGAAAAGUUUUUAAAGAGGGCAUUUUCUCUUUCCAAUAAGAUUUAUUUUGCUCUUUUCCAAAGUCAACAUUUCGGACGUUGGAACAAAAUACAAAACAGCCUUGAAAAAGAACCGCUUGACUGCUUAACCAAGACAAAAAUAUUCCACAUUUUUAUGAAUGAAAGAACCUUCUGGGCCAAGACAGAGAUCAAGGAGACUAUUCUUCCUUUGGCUUUUUAAUUUUUUGGGGGGGUUCCCCUGUAGUUGGGGAGGAAAAGCGUUUAAAUAUUUUAAAUGCUGAGAUAAUGAUUUGUAGGCUGCUCUGUGGAGUCUCUCAUUCAAAAGGCAAGCUAUGCAUUUCCAUUCAUAAAUAAUAAGAGAGGGUUGGCCCCCAGCAAGAAGGAGAAAUUGACUU
rnacentral:lncRNA from 1 species